UACGUAGGGUGCGAGCGUUGUCCGGAUUUAUUGGGCGUAAAGAGCUCGUAGGCGGUUCGGUAAGUCGAAUGUGAAAUCUCCACGCUCAACGUGGAGGGGUCAUUCGAAACUGCCGUGACUUGAGUACGGUAGGGGAGUGUGGAAUUCCCGGUGUAGCGGUGAAAUGCGCAGAGAUCGGGAGGAACACCCGUAGCGAAGGCGGCACUCUGGGCCGAUACUGACGCUGAGGCGCGAAAGCCAGGGGAGCAAACGGG
rnacentral:rRNA from 1 species